CAAAUCCAUCUAACUGAUCAACGCAAGUUGCACCGUUCUGACAAGGUUCAGAUGCGCAAUCGUCGAUCGUGUGCUGGCACUGUUUACCUGUGUAGCCAGGCUCGCAAGUGCAGGCCGGACCAGUCCAUCCUGGAUGACAGAUGCACUCGUGUCUGAAUAACUUGUCUAUGCAGAUACCGUUCAGGCAGGGAUUUCCUGAGCACAAAUCUAUCUUCUCGUGGCAACGUUUACCCGUGAAUCCUGGCGGGCAGUCGCACAUAAAGUCGGCAACCAGGCAGACAGUCGCACUUGAAUCUGCCCUGCUGAAGAGCCACACAAGUUGCCCCGUUGUUGCAGGGAUUUCCAUUAGCCGUGCAAGGAUUUAUCUGUAAAGGCUACUCACCUUCACAAGUUGGAACGUUGUUGAACUUCUGGUUGGGACCGCAGUCGAUUAUGUUGUUACCGGUCAGCUUGUAUCCUCUGUUACACUGAACACGAGCUUCGUCAGUGAAGAAAUAUUCCUUCGACAUGUCAACAAUGAAGCCAUUGUUGACAACGGGUAAUAUUGGGCACUGUGCACCUAGAAACAAAUGUCGAGAACCUUGAUGUAUGAAGAAAUUGGCAACUUCACGAAGAGUACAUUGAACAAUCAUUGUCAUCACUUACGGGAACAUAUUGGAACAUCGUCAGACCAGGUGCCAUUACUCAUGCAGAGGAUUACAGGAUGUCCGGUUCUAAUAUAACCUGGUUCGCACUCGAAUCUCACAAUUGUACCGUAACUGCGCCCGCCUCCGUUCAAUAUCGUCAUAUUCGCAUGUGGAGCUUCCGGCAGUGGAGCGCAUUGAGAAGCUGAGGUGCAUCGAGUGACACAAUUGAAUAGAGAAUCCUGUGGCACUGGUUUUCUCUGGCUCAAUUACCUGCAGGACAAGCUCGAGCUCGGCACAUAAAUGGCAACAAGGACUCGCACGUGGUCAACGCCCAGGAUUGCUGCUCGUCGGAGAUCGAAACGUCAACGCAUUCCCCGGACUGCGGAUUUGGCUGCUUUAGAGCCCAGAAACCUGAACACAGUUUGAAAGAUGAGCUACGAAUUUUUCCAUCUGUAGCAUCGGACAAUCAAGAUGUGAAUUACAAUUGCUCAAUCCUCUCUGCGAUUUCGGCGCGCAAUGAUCAAUGUCAAUGAUCCCAGUACCUGUGGAUGGCGGUAAGUAGCGAAUAUAUAUAUGAAAAGUAGUUCAUUCCCACUCAUCGGAUGAGUAAUAUUCCCGCGUUUUACAAUUCUAAGCAAAUUCUAUACAUGUACGUGAUGGAAAGAACUAUGGAAACAGAUACUCACGGCCGAAGUGUAAUUGUACCAUCGAUGAAUAACAAAAUCUACAGACCUUACACACGGUGU